rnacentral:lncRNA from 1 species
AAAAUAUCAACUGUAAAGAUAAAUUAAUAACUGGACUAUUAGGCUUAAAAAUGAAAUCAAACGAACUCUAGAAAUUGCAUAGCUCCUACAUCUCUGAAAAGUUAGUUGACGAAAAAUCUUAUCUGGCCUUGUCAAUAAAAUAACGUAUUGACAGUUAAAAUGUGAAGAAGUUUUCCACCAAAAUUUGUAACUAAAAGGAUUGACACGUAUCUUUUUUUUAGGGGCAAGGAUUGAUACGUAUCUAAUUGUGCAUUUAGAUAAUUUGUGGGUAAACAGGUAUAAUUAUUAAUUUAACUAAUUUGCCAUGUGAAUGCGACUUUAGAAUUUAGUUGGUUUAGUGUGUGUCCAAAACCUAAGGUCAUCGAGUUUGGUUGUUUUAUUGAUCAACUGCCCAUGAUCGAUUAUGUAUUUAUGUCGAUCGUUAUACGUAUUUGCCAUAUAAUUGAAGUUGAUUCUUUUUUACUAUAUUUAUAAUUUAUUUUUGUGUUCAAACGCGAUAAGUAUACCACAAUACGUAAAUUCUCACCUCCUUACUAAACAAUAUUAAUGAAUAUGCUUGUCGAAUCAUGUAAUAUAAUGCCCGUGUACGUAACCAAAUUAUAAGAGCAUAUUAACUAUUGAAUUUUGAAUACGAAAAAUAAGAGAGAAAGUUUGGGAUAUUGAGUUUGUUGUUGGAAAAAAUCUUAAAUAUUCCUUUAGAUUUUUUGGCGUUAGAGAUGUGUGAGUAUAAUUUUAAGCGGUUGGUGUUUAAAGUAAGACUAGCUAAUUACUAACGGUGCUUUAUCCGAACAUGGUGUCACCCAUUUCCAAAGUUGUUUUGACCCAUUCAAUUUGUAAGGAUUUGAUGGCCAAACACAAUUAUGCCUCAAUUAUUCAUCCCAACACAACACUACAUCCGAAUCCGAUAUUCUGUUCAAAACUUAACAAAUGGAUCGUCAAAGUCACGAUAAUAUCUAAAAAUUUNAUAAAAAUUAUGAUUCAAAAUAAUAAUAUCAUGAUUAAUUCGAGAGUACAUGGAUAAAGCUUUAUCUAGAAUUCUCAGUUUGUACAUCACUAUUUGAGGAUUGUGCAUCCACGACUCUCAGUUAGAUAAUUAGGAGCCAC